AGGGCUUUAUAAAAUACAUUUGAUUGAGCGAUACUUUAUCUUUGGCUAUUUCAGUCUCACUGUGUAAUGUAAGGACAUUUUGAAUAGGUGUAUGUUUAUAAACUGCCAUAUAAAUUAUAGUACUCUACCAUGUUUCUUACAUCAAAUCAUCUCAGAUCCCCACAAGUGCAUGGGAAGUUAGGAGUUGACAUUGGGCAUGAGCCUCAUGUUAUCUCCCUUUUAUCCCUCCUUCCUCUCUCUUAACGUCUCUCCCUCAUGUCAUAUCCCUCCCUCCCUCCCUCCCUCCCUCCCUCCUUCCUUCCUUCCUUCCUUCCUUCCUUCCUUCCUUCCUUCCUUCCUUCCUUCCUUCCUUCCUUCCUUCCUUCCUUCCUUCCUUCCUUCCUUCCUUCCUUCCUUCCUUCCCUCCCUCCCUCCAGGUUUUUCAGGAGGAAAAGUACCUGAAGGCAGCUGUGGAGUUCGGGGAGGUGAUCUGACAGAGAGGCCUGCUGAAGAAAGGUUAUGGUAUCUGUCACGGCACGGCAGGCAACGCCUAUUCCUUCCUCAGCCUCUACCAGGUCACCCAGGAGAAGAAGUACCUCUACCGUGCAUGCAAGGUAUGGCCCGGGGCUAUCCACUACUUGUCAGAACUGACCCAGCCCGAGUCUUCCUGCUUCCCAGCAUUUGAACUUUGACCUGGGCCUCUGGAGGCGUAGACUGUGACCUCAUCCCCCUCCCAUUCUGAACAUUGUGAGAGAUGAGCAGGGUUCUUAGAUGAGGGGGUAAGGGUGGGUAGUCUGGACCAUGCGGUCAGGAGAUUUGGUCAGACAUGGAACCUUCAGACCAGAAGCUCCAAACUGCAGCCUGAGGAGAGAUGUGUCACAUGAAGACUGUCACAGAAAAAUGUGCUGAAGACUGAUAAAUACCAUGUUGACCUUGCUGUUCUGCAGACACAUGGACAGAGAGGAAACAGCCCUUUAACUCUGUAAAUGCUGUGUACAGUAUGGGUUCUUGCCUGGAGUCUCUGAUACAAUGUUGGGUUUCGUUGUGAAAGACAAUUAAUUUUUUUGUCCAUUUGUGGGGUCUUUGCCGCUGCAUUCCUAUCUAGAUUAUCCACCCCUCCUUCCUUUCAAUGUGAUUCCUAAUCCUUGUCCCCCACAUAAUGUUUCAGUGUGACGCUGGGGUUUCCCACCCAGCUCCCCCCUCUUCCCUAGAGAGUCAGUCGUUGUUGUCUUUGCAUGGGGACGUCAGCCUUGGAAUGUGCCCGCGUGCGUCUGUCAGGUCAGUGUCUAAUGGUGAAGUGGCGUGGUUGUUCCCUUUGUAUGCCACUGUGCUUUUCUCCCAUUUGGUUAAUGUGCUGAAGAGAAUACUUUGUGUGUUAAAUACCACGUUGACCUUUUCCAGUGGAUAUCGUUUCCCUCAGGCGAACAGUUACAUUAAGAAUGUUGUACAAUGAACUAACGUUCUGUUAUAUGACUUGGUGUUAUACCAAUCCAUAGUGGUAUUGCACUCUAGGACUCGGUGUGAUACAUUUAAAUAAUCAAAUGUCAUCUAUGUAAUGAUUUAUCAUGAGAGGGCCAUAAACAAUUAACAAUGCAAUUAACAAUUUCUUGCAUUCUCCAAGAAAGGUUAAAAAUCUCACCUUUCUGGAAAACAAUAGUUAUAAAUUGCUUAUGUUUAGUCACUUUUGACGGCAAGCACAACUAUGAAAUAUUUUGAUGUAUUUCCUAUUCAACACAACUGUAUAAGGCAUGAAAUGACAUUCUUUCUAAAUGUAGUAAAAUCUAAUUAUAAAAUGAUAACUAUAAUAUUUCACUUUCUUUAUAACUGUAAAAUACACAUUUGUAUGUUUAGUGUUAGAGAAAAUGUGCAUAUUUUCUAAA
rnacentral:lncRNA from 8 species